AGGGUAGUAGUUAUUAAUAACAUCUAAUUUGCAGUUAGAAAGUGCUGUAAAGCUUACCUUA
rnacentral:tRNA from 1 species